rnacentral:tRNA from 1 species
AAGAAAUUAGUUUAAAAAAAACAUUAACUUGUCAAGUUAAAAAUAUUUAAUUUUUAAUAUUUCUUA